rnacentral:rRNA from 1 species
CCUACGGGAGGCAGCAGUGAGGAAUAUUGGUCAAUGGCCGUAAGGCUGAACCAGCCAAGUCGCGUGAAGGAAGAAGGAUCUAUGGUUUGUAAACUUCUUUUAUAGGGGAAUAAAGUUAUCCACGUGUGGAUAUUUGCAUGUACCCUAUGAAUAAGCAUCGGCUAACUCCGUGCCAGCAGCCGCGGUAAUACGGAGGAUGCGAGCGUUAUCCGGAUUUAUUGGGUUUAAAGGGUGCGUAGGUUGUUUUUUAAGUCAGCGGUGAAAGUUUGUGGCUCAACCAUAAAAUUGCCGUUGAAACUGGAAGACGUGAGUGUGUUUGAGGUAGGCGGAAUGCGUGGUGUAGCGGUGAAAUGCAUAGAUAUCACGCAGAACUCCGAUUGCGAAGGCAGCUUACUAAGCCAUAACUGACACUGAAGCACGAAAGCGUGGGGAUCAAACAGGAUUAGAUACCCCUGUAGUC